rnacentral:rRNA from 1 species
GACGCUGGCGGCAUGCCUACACAUGCAAGUCGAACGAGACCUUCGGGUCUAGUGGCGCACGGGUGCGUAACGCGUGGGAACCUGCCUUUAGGUUCGGAAUAACAGUUAGAAAUGACUGCUAAUGCCGAAUAAUGUCUUCGGACCAAAGAUUUAUCGCCUUUAGAUGGGCCCGCGUUGGAUUAGCUUGUUGGUGGGGUAACGGCCUACCAAGGCGACGAUCCAUAGCUGGUCUUAGAGGAUGAUCAGCCACACUGGGACUGAGACACUGCCCAGACUCCUACGGGAGGCAGCAGUGGGGAAUAUUGGACAAUGGGCGAAAGCCUGAUCCAGCAAUGCCGCGUGAGUGAUGAAGGCCUUAGGGUUGUAAAGCUCUUUUCCAGGGAUGAUAAUGACAGUACCUGGAGAAUAAGCUCCGGCUAACUCCGUGCCAGCAGCCCGCGGUAAUACGGAGGGAGCUAGCGUUGUUCGGAAAUCUGGGCGUAAAGCGCACGUAGCCGGUUGGCAAGUCAGGGGUGAAAUCCGGACUUACUCCGGACUGCUUUGAA